rnacentral:rRNA from 1 species
UGCAGUUAAAAAGCUCGUAGUUGGAUUUCAGUCUUAGCACGGCUGGCCCGCUCCCUUGAGGAGCCGAGUGCCGGUGUGUGCUGGACUUCCUUCUGGCAAGGAUCUUCUACCUCUAUGAGGCCGGGAGUGACUUCUGGAUCAUUUACUUUGAAGAAAUUAGAGUGUUCAAAGCAAGCUUACGCUGUGAAUAUAUUAGCAUGGAAUAAUAACAUAGGACUUGGGUUCUAUUUUGUUGGUUUUCUGAAUCUAAGUAAUGAUUGAUAGGGACGGUUGGGGGUGCUGCUAUUAUAUGGCCAGAGGUGAAAUUCACGGAUUCAUAUAAGAGCAACUUAUGCGAAAGCAUUCACCAAGGAUGUCUUCUUUAAUCAAGAACGAAAGUUGGGGGAUCGAAGACGAUCAGAUACCGUCGUAGUCUCAACCAUAAACUAUGCCGACUAGGGAUUGGUGGACGUUGAAUUUCCGACUCCAUCAGCACCUCAUGAGAAAUCAAAGUCUUUGGGUUCCGGGGGGAGUAUGGUCGCAAAGCUGAAACUUAAAGGAAUUGACGGAAGGACACCACCAGAAGUGGAACU